UAUGUUUUAGUAUAUGAUGUAUAAGGACUUUUGAUGUCUUGGGAAAUAGUUUAAUUCUAUUAAAUAUAA
rnacentral:tRNA from 1 species